AAUGGGGGCCCCCGCGCCCUUUCUUCCCCCCUCGGAGGGUUGGGGCGGGGAGGAGGAGGAGGGGGGGGGACGAAGCCAGGGCGGUUUAUGGGUGGGCUCUGCCUGUGUGUGUGUGUCCCCCCCCCGCCGUACCCGGGUGACCUUUCAAAUCAAAGCCCGGCUCGUACCUACCAAGGUGCAUUGGCCAGCAAGGGCUGGGACGGAGGGGGGGGGGGGCGAUGGGGAGGGGGGGGGUGAUGCUCCCGGGUUCUCCCCCUCCCUCUGCCUUUCCCCCUCCCUCCCUCCCUCGCUGCUCCCUCCCUCUCCCUCUCCCUCUCUCUCUGCUGCAUUUUGCAUGAGCUAUCUAGGUCAUUAGCAUUUUAGCGUAUGCAAGACUUGACAAAGCUGAUGAGAAGCCAGAUGGGCCCCUCUCCUCUUUUUUUUGCACCACUUGGGAUCUGAGCGAAAGGAUUGACUGCAGCAGGCGAACGGGGGAAGGUUUUAUUGCGCUCCUCCAGACCCCCCCUUUAUAGCAACGCGGCGGGGCUCGGGGAAAGCGGCAGAGAGCGGGCAGCGGCGGGCAGAGACGGAGGGCAGCCAGAGAGGUGCCUGGGAACCCAUCGCCACCCCCCCCCCCCCCACCUCCCUGCUGGGGCCCUUCACCUCCCUGCCCUUCUCCCAUCCCUUCUCCUCCCUUCCCUUCUUUUUGCAGCUGGAGGCCAACCUGCCCCGCAUCCCUCCAUCCCCAUGGCCGGCCCAGCGUUCCCAGCAGGUGCUUUCCACUGGGCAAAGAAGGGCCUUACUGGAGGGGAUGGUCCCCCCACCCUGUGGGGCGGCUGCAGAGCUGUCCCCGGGCUGGGGGGGGCCCUUUGAUGAUGGCGCGGGGGGGUCCAUCUCUCUUUGCAGCCCUGCACGCAGACCCUCGCCGCUGGGACGGUGCCCGCGGGAGCAUUGACAGCAGCUCGGGGUCCCUGGGACGCCUCUUUGCACCCCCCCCUUCCCCGGGGUGCUGCAGGUAUUUUGGGGCAGCCCUCCCUGGGCUUGCAUCCCCGCCGGUGCGGAUGCCGCAAGGAGCCCGUCGGGUCGUGCCGUGCCAAUAAAGCUCUUUCGCUGCGGG